UCUGUUGUUAGGGAAGAACAAGUGCGAGAGUAACUGCUCGCACCUUGACGGUACCUAACCAGAAAGCCACGGCUAACUACGUGCCAGCAGCCGCGGUAAUACGUAGGUGGCAAGCGUUGUCCGGAAUUAUUGGGCGUAAAGGGCUCGCAGGCGGUUUCUUAAGUCUGAUGUGAAAGCCCCCGGCUCAACCGGGGAGGGUCAUUGGAAACUGGGAAACUUGAGUGCAGAAGAGGAGAGUGGAAUUCCACGUGUAGCGGUGAAAUGCGUAGAGAUGUGGAGGAACACCAGUGGCGAAGGCGACUCUCUGGUCUGUAACUGACGCUGAGGAGCGAAAGCGUGGGGAGCGAACAGGAUUAGAUACCCUGGUAGUCCACGCCGUAAACGAUGAGUGCUAAGUGUUAGGGGGUUUCCGCCCCUUAGUGCUGCAGCUAACGCAUUAAGCACUCCGCCUGGGGAGUACGGUCGCAAGACUGAAACUCAAAGGAAUUGACGGGGGCCCGCACAAGCGGUGGAGCAUGUGGUUUAAUUCGAAGCAACGCGAAGAACCUUACCAGGUCUUGACAUCCUCUGACAACCCUAGAGAUAGGGCUUUCCCUUCGGGGACAGAGUGACAGGUGGUGCAUGGUUGUCGUCAGCUCGUGUCGUGAGAUGUUGGGUUAAGUCCCGCAACGAGCGCAACCCUUGAUCUUAGUUGCCAGCAUUUAGUUGGGCACUCUAAGGUGACUGCCGGUGACAAACCGGAGGAAGGUGGGGAUGACGUCAAAUCAUCAUGCCCCUUAUGACCUGGGCUACACACGUGCUACAAUGGACAGAACAAAGGGCUGCGAGACCGCAAGGUUUAGCCAAUCCCAUAAAUCUGUUCUCAGUUCGGAUCGCAGUCUGCAACUCGACUGCGUGAAGCUGGAAUCGCUAGUAAUCGCG
rnacentral:rRNA from 1 species